GACGUAGGAGGCGAGCGUUGUCCGGAGUUACUGGGCGUAAAGGGUAGGUAGGUGGUCUCAUUUGUCUCAUGUGAAAGCCUUGAGCUUAACUCAAGAAGUGCGUGAGAAACGGUGAGACUAGAGUACUGGAGAGGCUAGUGGAAUUCCCGGUGUAGCGGUGAAAUGCGUAGAGAUCGGGAGGAACACCAGAGGCGAAGGCGGCUAGCUGGACAGUAACUGACACUCAACUACGAAAGCGUGGGGAGCAAACAGG
rnacentral:rRNA from 1 species